CUUUUUUUUUCAUUUCAAUUAUUCUUUCUUGCUUCUUUCCUUUGCCCUGUUUUUGGUCGAGAGAAAUCGGGAGGAACAGAGAGAGAGAGAGAGAGAGAGAGAGAGAGAGAGCUUCAGGAAGAGCUCGACUUUGCCUCAGGUUCAAUUACCGACCAAUUUCGGAUGAGCUAGGAGCUAGAUUAACCGCACAAGAUAUCUUUUUGGACAACGGGGAUCAGCGCGGAAGAUCUUUUUGCAGUAGGGCCCACUCCUAGUAUAAGUAGUAAGUUCUUGUAGAAUGUUAUGAUUAAGUUACGACCUGAAACUUUUGUUUAGUUGGGUUAGUGAUAUGGUUGUGGAAAGUACUCUCUUGAGAGUUAUAUAUAUAUAUAUCAGAACCGGCUGAAUUGGUUAUAUACUUUUGGUAUAGCUUGCUGAAUUGGUUAACUGUUUGGGAGGUGGAAAACAUGUUAUGAAUAAAUUGUUUAUGUGA